UACGGAGGAUGCAAGCGUUAUCCGGAUUUAUUGGGCGUAAAGCGUCCGCAGGUGGCUAUACAAGUCUGCUGUUAAAGCGUGGGGCUUAACUCCAUACAGGCAGUGGAAACUGUAAAGCUAGAGUCUGGUAGGGGUCACGGGAAUUCCCAGUGUAGCGGUGAAAUGCGUAGAUAUCAGGAAGAACACCGGUGGCGAAAGCGCUCUGCUAGGCCGCAACUGACACUGAGGGACGAAAGCUAGGGGAGCGAAUGGG
rnacentral:rRNA from 1 species